CAGUGUGUGGCUGGCAGGGUGACCCAGUAUGCGUCUCACCUCCGCCACGAGACGUCUGUGGCCGUGACGCAUGGCUGCUACCAGCAAACUGAUGUCUCGGUGGCGUACGCCACUCUCCACAUGGGGCUGGAUGGGCUGCUCUCCUCCUCGGCGUGGUCGGAGGCUGCCUCCGUCUCUACGCCCACCACUCAGCAGUUCACUGAGCCAGAGCCUGAGGGCCACAACUGCUAUGAGGGCUGGGAGGAAG